CUACGGGAUGCUGCAGUGGGGAAUAUUGGACAAUGGGCGCAAGCCUGAUCCAGCAAUGCCGCGUGAGCGAAGACGGCCUUAGGGUUGUAAAACUCUUUCGCUAGGGAAGAUAAUGACUGUACCUAGUAAAGAAGUCCCGGCUAACUCCGUGCCAGCAGCCGCGGUAAUACGGAGGGGACUAGCGUUGUUCGGAAUUACUGGGCGUAAAGAGUUCGUAGGCGGACUGACAAGUUAGAGGUGAAAUCCCAGGGCUCAACCCUGGAACUGCCUUUAAAACUGUCAGUCUAGAGACCGGAAGAGGUUAGGGGAAUACCUAGUGUAGAGGUGAAAUUCGUAGAUAUUAGGUGGAACACCAGUGGCGAAGGCGCCUAACUGGUCCGGUACUGACGCUGAGGAACGAAAGCGUGGGGAGCAAACAGGAUUAGAUACCCGAGUAGUC
rnacentral:rRNA from 1 species